rnacentral:lncRNA from 1 species
AUGACAGACUUCACGGGUUGGACUUCUGUCCAAGUUUGCCAGUGGUUGAAAGAUAUUGACUUGGGGGAAUUCUGUGAAAGGAUGGCGAUGAUAAAAAUCUACCAGAGAAAUUUUGUGUCUAACCACAGCACGGAGGAGAUUAUCUCUGAGUUUCCAUGUUUCAGACUGGCCAAAAUGCUCCUUUGGGAUCUGAGAGACCGUACCAACGUUGAUGUGGACCAACAGAUUCUCUCUCAGCUCUCGGUAAUGGCAUCUAAAGUCCUUCAAGUUUCACAGAGUCCCCUGAUGGAGAAGUUCAGUCGUGUGGUUGAUGACUGUGAAGAUGGCAGACUGAAAAAAGGUAAUUAAAUCUGCACUACUUAGAUUUUCUGUGUAUCACUGACUGACACCCAUAUCUGCCUGAGAUCAUACAUUUCUGCAUGUAUCUGUCUUGUGUAAUAAUAAAGACUAAUUUCUAGUUUAUUAAAGGUAGUAAUAAUUACUGUCUUAGUAAUUAAUUGAAAAACAAAGAAAACUUAUUAGAUAAAAGCAUCCACCAUGUUAUGUUAACCUAAUUCUUGUUUUGUUUAAAGGACUACAGUUGGAAGCAGCUAUUCUGCUCUUGCCUGCACUGUUUAAGGAGGACCCGGGGUUGCUGUUUGAAGUUGAGGUUCAUUACUGAGGAGAGUGAGGACAUCUCAAUGGCACUGGGCCUCAUCCUUUGUAUAUAUUUUCUGUUUGGGAUCCAAUAUCCUAAAGGACUGAAAAAGACACUGACCUUCCUGGAGUGCGUUGUCUUAAAAAUGAAGGAUGCAGCCGGACUUCCUGUCACAAUUAAAAGAGUGUACAACUCAAUCUGUGCAUAGAGUCUCUCUCUCUCUCUCUCUCUCUUCUCUUUCUGGGGCCUAUUCCAAUUUCUAUUUUUUUUCCUUCUAUUUUUUUCUAACUCCUUUAGCCAGUGUUGUUAAUGUUAAAAAGCACGGAUUAUAUUUGCAACUAAAAGAAAUGAAUUAAACUAUUUUAAAAGUGUAAUGUAUUUUGUUUAUCAGUAAGCUUUUAGUACAGGAUUUUGAAUCUUUCAAUCCACGAUUUGGUAUAAAAGCGUCAUUUAGAAGCAUAUUGACUCAAACAUUGUAGUAUAUAGCAUGAUAAUGGCCUACUACCUAAAAAAAAGGUUCUAUAAAGCACCAUUUGACAAAUGUGCUAUAAAGCUUAAGUCCCAUUAAUGGCAAAAGAGGUUCCCCUAUAACGAGCCAAAGAAUCACUGUUGAGCACCAUUUUUGUUGAAGAAAUUGUAAACAAUCAAGGUGCUUUAUGGCACCUCUUAUGGUUCUACAUAGCACCAUUUGACAAAGGUGCUGUACAGCCCCUCUUCACAGACACCUCAUCCAAAAAAAAAUGUGUUUUGGUAGAAAAUAGCAUUCCAGUGUGUAUUUACUUCUGAAGUAUUUUUAAAAAUAUUUUACUCUGAGGGAUAGAUGUGAGUACAUAUUUAAAAAAAAAGUGACAGGACCUUAUAAGUAUGGUUCACCUUAAAUUCUUUUUUUUUAUUUUAAAUGUGAACUCACACUCCUGUUGUUCAAAGCCUGACUUUCGUUCUUCUGUGGAACAAAAAAAAGAAUGAAUGUCUCAGUGUUUUUUUGUUUCGUAAUAUCAUCUU